rnacentral:rRNA from 1 species
AACUCUCAACAACGGAUAUUUUGGCUCCCGUAACGAUGAAGAACGCAGCGAAAUGCGAUACGUAGUGUGAAUUGCAGAAUUCCGUGAACCAUCGAAUCUUUGAACGCAAAUUGCGCUCGAGGCUUCGGCCAAGAGCAUGUCUGCCUCAGCGUC